rnacentral:rRNA from 1 species
CCCUUAGAUGUUCUGGGCGGCCCGCGCACUACAUUGGCACUAGCAAAGAGAUCCUAGAUUGAAUUCUUUGGGGUAUUCUUCUAAAUGGUGUCGUGACUGGGAUAAAUCCUUGUAAUUAUUGGUUUUGAACGAGGAAUUCCUUGUAAUCGCGGUUUAUCAGCUCGCGUUGAAUGCGUCCCUGCCCUUUGUACACACCGCCCGUCGCUCCUACCGAUGGAUCGUCCGGUGAAGCUCACGGAGUGACUGUUCACGCAACGGUUUACGAAGUGAAAUGGACCUCACGAUUUAGAGGAAGUAAAAGUCGUAACA